UACGUAGGGAGCAAGCGUUGUCCGGAAUCAUUGGGCGUAAAGCGCGCGUAGGUGGCUUCAUAAGUCCGUUGUGAAAGUCAAAGGCUCAACCUUUGAAAGCCGAUGGAUACUGUGGAGCUAGAGUACGGAAGAGGCGAGUGGAAUUCCUGGUGUAGCGGUGGAAUGCGCAGAUAUCAGGAGGAACACCAAUAGCGAAGGCAGCUCGCUGGGACGUUUACUGACACUGAGGCGCGAAAAGCGUGGGGAGCGAACAGG
rnacentral:rRNA from 1 species